GUUGGGGGCCAAACCUUAGUGCGCGGCAACUGUCGCCCCGCGUACCCAGAACGUCUGCGCGCAAGUUUUUGCACUGUCACUGUCGUUUAGUUAGCUAAUCGUUUUCUUCCACUUGCAGCUCGUUUCUACGAUUACCUUUUUUAUGCAUAGUUAACAAAGUCUUCUGAUUGGGGACUAUAGCCCCGUGGCCCUCGUGGUUCCUACUCCUAGCUGGUAGGCUAGUAUUAGACAUGCAUCACUGUACAGGUUAAUUUACCACAGCUACCAAUCGUCCCGGCAUUGCUAGAUUGUCGACGCUAGGUCAUCUUCGCCUGACGUGGUGGAGUGAUUAUGCAUAGGGUCACAUAACAGGAAAACGAAGUUGCCACGGUAACGAAGAUAGAUAAAAAUAAAACAGGCUUUCUAGCUACAGCAAACAACAGGAUGUUCGAUGUCCUAGUAACGGAAUUAUAGUCUCGUGUUGUAUGACGUUUGCCAUCACGAGGCAUUGCAUCACUCCGCACGUGAGCCAUUGGACGUUCCCGGGGACAAACUUACUACUCCUCCAUAAAAGAGCCGCGCAGAGUGCAAUACGAUUAAAUCGCAGUACAGCUCUACUAUAGACACAAGAGAAGGAUAUGGGAUUGCUGUCCAGUGCAACGUUUGCCGUCAUCGUUCUUGUUUUCCUUAUCCAAUGUUUUGCUCAAAACCAUGCCGUAUCCAGCAGCGGUAACUUUCAAAUUGAACAAUGCUUGAGAAACACCAAUUUGUCUUCAGUAGCGGACACAGAUGGGCGAAGGCAAAAGCAGAAAUAUUUAAGUCAAAACAAAAAGGAAAAUGACGUCAUCAACAAUAUGGGAAUUUUUGCCGAAUACUCUUACGUCCACUCCUGCAACAGAUUCGACUUGAUGUACUACAAGAACGUUAUGUUUUCGUCGAUGUUUUGUCAAUCGAUUUCAGACACAACAAUAUCAGUGGAAGGUCAACAUUCAAUUUGGUCUCCACGUCAGAGUUUUGAUACUUCCCAGUGCGAUUCAAAGUUUCCUCUCGGUACAUGUGGAUCAUUGAAAUGGACUAAUGAACAAGGAUUGCAAAAUUUGCAACUGUGCAUUACUGAUUGGGCUACAGAAGGAAAGAUUAACAUUCCUUACUGUGGACCUCCCAAUCAGGUUUGCGUAAUAGUUGGAGUAAAGAGAACAAAGGCAGGCAAGCCACUGCGAUGCACUGUAAAGUCUUAUUCUACAAUCAAACCUCCGAGGAGAAAAAACUUGCCGUGGAGAUCAUGGGUAAUGGAAGUAGGAGAAGGAUGUGAAUGCAAAGCGGCUUGUUAUAAUGCUGACAAACUUUAGUACACAGUGAUCAAUCCAGAAUUCAGGGGGGAAAGCAGUGCUCCUAUGUGCUUUCCCGGAGAAAUGGAAUUCACGGCAGCUGAGAGCGCAUGUAGAUUUGGUAAUGACAACGGUGAGUGGCAAAUUGAAGGCGACUGCACAGGACGUUGCUACAGCAAGAGAUUAAACAACAUGAAAGGUCUCCAAAUAGUUCAUCAAGAAGGACGACUGUUGAACGAACAUGAAGUGUGCUUUCUCAGCUACGUCGAACAGGAACAUCAAGAAUCAGCCGAAUGUCAGAUAGAGAACAUAAAUGGGUUGUGG